rnacentral:rRNA from 1 species
GUGGGGAAUCUUGCGCAAUGGGCGAAAGCCUGACGCAGCAACGCCGCGUGCGGGAUGAAGGCCCUCGGGUUGUAAACCGCUUUCAGUGGGGACGAACCAAGACGGUACCCACAGAAGAAGCCCCGGCCAACUACGUGCCAGCAGCCGCGGUAACACGUAGGGGGCAAGCGUUGUCCGGAUUCAUUGGGCGUAAAGAGCUCGUAGGCGGUUCGAUAAGUCGGGUGUGAAACCUCCAGGCUCAACCUGGAGACGCCACCCGAUACUGUCGUGACUAGAGUCCAGUAGGGGAGCGUGGAAUUCCUGGUGUAGCGGUGAAAUGCGCAGAUAUCAGGAGGAACACCAGCGGCGAAGGCGGCGCUCUGGGCUGGAACUGACGCUGAGGAGCGAAAGCGUGGGGAGCGAACAGGAUUAGAUACCCCAGUAGUCC